CACUCUCGCCUCAUCGUUCCUCCCAUUCCGCGAUAAUAAACCCUCCCAUUUUCAUCAACCUUUUUUUUAGGGUUUAUCUCCAAAAACCCAAGAAACCCUAGCUAAUGGCGUUCGCCGGUCCAUCAUCUCUCCUCUCAUCUCGCUCCAUGUGUAGUAGAUUAAAUCCGCUCUUGUUCUCCCCACGAGCUCGUCGAAUUAGGGCGCCGCCUCCGCGCUGGAAUCAUCGUCGUCUCCAUCGAAAUUUCUUCUCAGUUAUGGCGUCGGAAAAUGAAGUGUUCACCUCUCCGGAGAUGGCGAAGUCGUUCGAUUUCGGAGCGGAGGAACGGAUAUAUAAGUGGUGGGAGUCUCAAGGUUUUUUCAAGCCUAGCUUUGAUCGCGGAGGAGAUCCUUUUGUGAUUCCAAUGCCACCUCCAAAUGUUACUGGAUCACUGCAUAUGGGGCAUGCAAUGUUUGUUACCCUCGAGGAUAUAAUGGUGAGGUACUUCCGGAUGAAAGGAAGGCCUGCACUUUGGGUUCCUGGAACUGAUCAUGCUGGUAUUGCAACUCAGUUGGUUGUGGAAAGAAUGCUUGCAUCAGAAGGAAUCAAAAGGACUGAGCUAAGUAGGGAGGAAUUCACAAAGAGAGUUUGGGAGUGGAAAGAGAAGUACGGGGGAACAAUCACUAAUCAAAUAAGGAGAUUGGGGGCAUCUUGUGAUUGGAGUAGGGAACAUUUCACCCUCGAUGAGCAGCUAAGUCGUGCGGUCGUUGAGGCAUUUGUUAGGCUUCAUGAGAAAGGGCUUAUUUACCAAGGAUCUUACAUGGUCAAUUGGUCCCCGAGCUUGCAAACUGCGGUCUCUGACUUGGAAGUUGAAUACUUCGAAGAGCCUGGCACUUUGUAUUAUAUUAAGUAUCGUGUUGCAGGUGGUUCACGGAAUGAUUUUAUGACAAUAGCAACCACUCGUCCAGAGACAUUAUUUGGUGAUACUGCAAUUGCUGUUAAUCCUGAGGAUGAGCGUUACUCUAAGUACGUUGGUAGACUGGCAAUUGUACCCUUGACAUUUGGCAGAUUGGUUCCUAUUAUUUCUGAUAGAUACGUCGAUAAAGACUUUGGUACUGGGGUUUUGAAGAUUAGCCCUGGGCAUGAUCACAAUGAUUAUCAUAUUGCUAGAAAGCUUGGUCUGCCUAUACUCAAUGUUAUGAACAAAGAUGGCACAUUGAAUGAGGUGGCUGGAUUAUACAGUGGCCUUGAUCGGUUUGAGGCUCGAAAGAAAGUAUGGUCUGAUCUUCUAGAGACUGGUUUGGCAGUGAAAGAGGAGCCUCAUACUUUGCGAGUUCCCAGAUCCCAGCGUGGUGGUGAAGUCAUAGAACCGCUGGUGAGUAAGCAGUGGUUUGUUACCAUGGAGCCUUUAGCUGAGAAGGCUCUUCAUGCAGUUGAACAGGGACACCUAACCAUUCUUCCUGAUAGAUUUGAAAAGAUAUAUAAACACUGGUUGACAAACAUUAAAGAUUGGUGCAUAAGUAGGCAAUUAUGGUGGGGGCACCGAAUACCAGUUUGGUACAUAGUGGGCAAGGACUGUGAAGAGGAUUAUAUUGUUGCAAGAAGUCCAGAGGAAGCACUUGUAAAGGCUCAGGAGAAGUAUGGAAAGUCGGUAGAAAUAUAUCAAGAUCCUGAUGUUCUUGAUACUUGGUUUUCCAGUGCAUUGUGGCCUUUUAGCACUCUUGGAUGGCCAGAUUUAUCUAGUGAGGAUUUCAAGAAGUUCUAUCCAGCAACCAUUCUUGAGACUGGUCAUGACAUUCUAUUUUUCUGGGUGGCUCGAAUGGUGAUGAUGGGGAUCGAGUUCACAGGAACUGUUCCUUUUUCCUAUGUUUAUCUGCAUGGCCUUAUACGGGACUCACAAGGACGAAAAAUGUCAAAGACGUUGGGUAAUGUCAUAGAUCCAUUGGAUACCAUUAAGGAGUAUGGCACUGAUGCGUUGCGUUUCACUCUUUCAUUGGGUACAGCUGGACAGGACCUUAAUCUUUCCAUGGAGAGACUAACUUCAAACAAGGCUUUCACUAACAAACUAUGGAAUGCGGGCAAGUUUGUGUUACAAAAUCUGCCUGAUAAAAGUGAUGCCACUGCAUGGGAACCCCUAUUAGCAAAUAAGUUUGAUACGGAGGCAUUGCUCGCUAAACUACCUUUACCAGAAUGCUGGGUGGUAUCAGAACUUCAUGAGCUCAUUGACAAUGUCAGCACAAGCUAUGACAAGUUUUUCUUUGGAGAUGCUGGUAGGGAGAUCUAUGAUUUUUUCUGGGGAGACUUUGCUGAUUGGUAUAUUGAAGCUAGCAAAACUCGUUUCUACCACUCUGGGAAUCAGUCGCUUGCUUGCAUUGCACAAGGCGUUCUGUUAUAUGUAUUUGAAAACAUAUUGAAGUUGCUGCAUCCUUUUAUGCCAUUUGUCACCGAAGAAUUAUGGCAGUCAUUACCAUAUAGAAAAAAGGCUCUUAUUGUGUCCCACUGGCCAGAGACUUCAUUUCCAAGGGACAUCAAAUCCAUCAGAAGAUUUCAGAAUUUGCAGUCAUUGGUGAGAGCGAUCAGGAAUGCACGAGCAGAAUACUCUGUUGAGCCAGCUAAGCGCAUAUCCGCUUCUAUUGUUGCGAAUGCAGAUGUUCUUGAUUACAUAUCUAAUGAAAAGCAAGUCUUGGCUUUAUUAUCCAGGCUUGAUCUACAGAAUGUGCAUUUCACAGAAUCUCCUCCUGAUUAUGCAAACCAAUCUGUGCACCUGGUGGCUGAUGAGGGCUUAGAGGCUUAUCUCCCUCUCGCUGACAUGGUGGAUGUAUCUGCUGAACUUGAGCGGCUUUCUAAGCGUCUCUCUAAGAUGCAAACAGAAUAUGAUACUCUUGUUGCUCGCCUCAAAUCUCCCAAUUUCAUAGAAAAAGCACCAAAGGAGGUGGUUCGUGGAGUCCAGGAAAAGGCGAGUGAAGCAGAAGAGAAGAUCUCUCUCACUAAGAACCGGCUUGCUUUUCUCCAAUCGACAGUUUCUUCAUCAUGAUAGUUCGCAAUAUCAAAAGUUUAUAUCUUUCCUAUCUCUCGUAUGAAUCUGGAAACAUUUAUGAUAUGAAGCAGCUGAUGCAGAAUGGGUGGCAUUUGAAGGAUUUAUAUUCAUCCUUCAUGCUUCAUGGUAAGUCCCUUGUUCUCAAUGCCCAUUGAUGUCUCCGAAUAAUUUGUCGAUUAAAUUAUGUAGAUUCCAAAUUAUUUGCCGAAUAACAAGCUGGUUAUUUAAUUUAUUAGGUUGUGCAUUUUUCCGCCAAUAUAAUUGAAGGUGUUAUAGAUAAGUGACAUAGUUAUCAUCCUGUAAUAGUAUAUAAUUGCGCUUUGUGGUCCGCAAAGCAGUCUCAGUUUUGUUCCAGUUUAUGUCAGUUCGUGCCUGUGUUAUUUUGAUGUGUUCUAUUUUACUGGAAGAAUUGACUGACUCCAACAUCCCGGCUAUAUCUUGUAUGUAUUCAUUCUGUGAGUUGUUUUCUUGCUUUAA